CAUCAUCUCAUCUCUCAUCCACAUCAUUAUUAUUAUUGUAGUGUAGUGUAGUUACAUGGCCUAAGUAACUAGUGUAGUCUUCCUUUUGCUGAUACCAUCAUUAUUGCUUCUUCACUGUUGCUCUUAAAGUUCCGGUUGAAGCUUUUUCUUUCUUGUCAAAUAUGAAGCUUCAGUUCUAGUCUUCUAGAGAGAUGAUGAAGGUGGAAGAUCUUGUGAAGACCGUUUCUUUGCGGUUUGCGGAUAUCAAUUCAUCGGAUGGGUAGAUCGAAUGGUCGUACGUCGCCGCUGUCGCCUUCACCACAUUGUCGGAAACCCUAAAUAUUAAUGGGUUUAGAUUGUAACUGUAAAGUUUUAUAUUGGGCUUCAUAAUUAUAAAAUUUAUAUUGGGCUUUUUA